rnacentral:rRNA from 1 species
UACGGAGGGUGCGAGCGUUGUCCGGAAUCACUGGGCGUAAAGGGCGCGUAGGCGGCCCGGCAAGUCAACGGUGAAAGCUUGGGGCUCAACCCCGAGUCGGCCGUCGAUACUUCCGGGCUGGAGCACUGUAGAGGCAGGUGGAAUUCCGGGUGUAGCGGUGAAAUGCGCAGAUAUCAGGAGGAACACCGGUGGCGAAGGCGGUUCUCUGGGCAUGUCCUGACGCUGAGGAGCGAAAGUGUGGGUAGCGAACAGG